AUCUAAAUAAAAGGCAACAUCAUCCUCUUCAUUGCCAACUCUAGAUGAACUUGUCGGGACCCUGAGGUUGAGUAGGCUCGCGAGGAGAAGGAGGAGGAGUAGGCUCACGAGGAGGAGGAGGAGGAGAAGACUCUCUAGGCUCUCGAAUGUAUGAGCCACCUUCAUAAACCGGGGUUGGCACAUUCCUUACGGCCUCAACAUUAUACAAUAACUCAUCCUCAAGCCAUGUAGGAUCUUCCGGAAGAACGGGAUCUUCUAUCUUUGUUAUCCAUUCAUCAUCGGAGGCAAUUUCUUCCACAACAAUAGGAUCAUACUUCUCCAUCCUUUUCUUACUUCUUUGUUGUAAAGCCAAAUUUUACUUGACAUAGGCUAAAGCAUUAAGCCUUUUGUGUUCAAGCCUAUUCCUUCUUUUCGUAUGAAUCUACAAAUAAAUCAAUUCUAUUAUUCAAGUCUAAACAUUUUAAGCAAAAAUGACACUUAAGAUACUAAUAAUAUAUUUACUUACCA